rnacentral:rRNA from 1 species
GUAACACGUAGUCAACCUGCCCUGGAGACAUGGACAACCCCGGGGAACUGGGAUUAAUCCGUGAUAGGUCAUCUCAUCUGGAAGGAGAGAUGGCUUAAAGGGAUGCGCGGGCUUCUUCUGCGUAUUUGCUCCAGGAUGGGACUGCGUCCGAUCAGGCUGUUGGCGGGGUAAUGGCCCACCAAGCCAGUAACCGGUACGGGCCUUGAGAGAGGUGGCCCGGAGAUGGACACUGAGAGAAGGGUCCAGGUCCUACGGGGCGCAGCAGGCGCGAAACCUUCGCAAUGCGCGCAAGCGUGACGAGGUUAAUCCGAGUGAUUUCCGCUGAGGAGACCUUUUGUCUGCUGUAAAUAGGCAGGCGAAUAAGGGGAGGGCAAGCCUGGUGUCAGCCGCCGCGGUAAUACCAGCUCCUCGAGUGGUCGGGGCGAUUAUUGGGCCUAAAGCAUCCGUAGCCGGUUCCGUAGGUCCUCUGUUAAAUCCAACCGCCCAACGGUUGACCUGCAGAGGAUACCGCGAGACU